rnacentral:rRNA from 1 species
GCAAUGCCGCGUGCAGGAUGAAGGCCUUCGGGUUGUAAACUGCUUUUGUACGGAACGAAACGGUGAGCUCUAAUACAGUUUGCUAAUGACGGUACCGUAAGAAUAAGCACCGGCUAACUACGUGCCAGCAGCCGCGGUAAUACGUAGGGUGCGAGCGUUAAUCGGAAUUACUGGGCGUAAAGCGUGCGCAGGCGGUGAUGUAAGACAGAUGUGAAAUCCCCGGGCUCAACCUGGGACCUGCAUUUGUGACUGCAUCGCUGGAGUACGGUAGAGGGGGAUGGAAUUCCGCGUGUAGCAGUGAAAUGCGUAGAUAUGCGGAGGAACACCGAUGGCGAAGGCAAUCCCCUGGACCUGUACUGACGCUCAUGCACGAAAGCGUGGGGAGCAAACAGGAUUAGAUACCCUGGUAGUCCACGCCCUAAACGAUGUCAACUGGUUGUUGGGUCUUCACUGACUCAGUAACGAAGCU